UACGUAGGUGGCAAGCGUUGUUCGGAAUUAUUGGGCGUAAAGGGCGCGUAGGCGGCUUGUUAAGUCGGCUGUGAAAGCCCGGGGCUCAACCCCGGAGGGUCAGCCGAUACUGGCAGGCUAGAGUACGGAAGAGGUAGCUGGAAUUCCCGGUGUAGCGGUGAAAUGCGUAGAUAUCAGGAAGAACACCCGUGGCGAAGGCGGCUCUCUGGGGGACGGUACUGACGCUGAGACGCGAAAGCGUGGGGGAGCAAACAGG
rnacentral:rRNA from 1 species